AGUGAACGCUGGCGGUAGGCCUAACACAUGCAAGUCGAACGGCAGCACAGUAAGAGCUUGCUCUUACGGGUGGCGAGUGGCGGACGGGUGAGGAAUACAUCGGAAUCUACUUUUUCGUGGGGGAUAACGUAGGGAAACUUACGCUAAUACCGCAUACGACCUACGGGAGAAAGCAGGGGAUCUUCGGACCUUGCGCGAUUGAAUGAGCCGAUGUCGGAUUAGCUAGUUGGCGGGGUAAAGGCCCACCAAGGCGACGAUCCGUAGCUGGUCUGAGAGGAUGAUCAGCCACACUGGAACUGAGACACGGUCCAGACUCCUACGGGAGGCAGCAGUGGGGAAUAUUGGACAAUGGGCGCAAGCCUGAUCCAGCCAUACCGCGUGGGUGAAGAGGGCCUUCGGGUUGUAAAGCCCUUUUGUUGGGAAAGAAAAGCAGCAGGUUAAUACCCCGCUGUUCUGACGGUACCCAAAGAAUAAGCACCGGCUAACUUCGUG
rnacentral:rRNA from 1 species